rnacentral:rRNA from 1 species
UCGAGGAUCUUCGGCAAUGGGCGAAAGCCUGACCGAGCGACGCCGCGUGCGGGAUGAAGGCCUUCGGGUUGUAAACCGCUGUCAGUGGGGAGGAAAUUUAGGAGGGAUCACCCUCUUAUUUGACCUAUCUGCAGAGGAAGGACGGGCUAAGUUCGUGCCAGCAGCCGCGGUAAUACGAACCGUCCUAACGUUAUUCGGAAUCACUGGGCUUAAAGGGUGCGUAGGCGGCCUGGUAAGUUGGGUGUGAAAUCCCUCGGCUUAACCGAGGAAUUGCGCUCAAGACUGCCCGGCUCGAGGGAGACAGAGGUGAGCGGAACUUAGGGUGGAGCGGUGAAAUGCGUUGAUAUCCUAAGGAACACCGGUGGCGUAAGCGGCUCACUGGGUCUUUUCUGACGCUGAGGCACGAAAGCUAGGGGAGCGAACG